rnacentral:rRNA from 1 species
ACAGCAGCAGCCGCGGGAAUACAGAGGGUGCGAGCGUUAAUCGGAUUUACUGGGCGUAAAGCGUGCGUAGGCGGCUUCUUAAGUCGGAUGUGAAAUCCCUGAGCUUAACUUAGGAAUUGCAUUCGAUACUGGGAAGCUAGAGUAUGGGAGAGGAUGGUAGAAUUCCAGGUGUAGCGGUGAAAUGCGUAGAGAUCUGGAGGAAUACCGAUGGCGAAGGCAGCCAUCUGGCCUAAUACUGACGCUGAGGUACGAAAGCAUGGGGAGCAAACAGGAUUAGAGACCCCCGUAGUCCCUGUCUCUUAUAC